rnacentral:rRNA from 1 species
AAGCUCGUAGUUGAAUUUCGGGGUUAGUAGGUUGGUCAUGCCUCUGGUAUGUACUGGUCUCACUGAUUCCUCCUUCCUGAUGAACCGUAAUGCCAUUAAUUUGGUGUUUCGGGGAAUUUGGACUGUUACUUUGAAAAAAUUAGAGUGUUUAAAGCAAGCUAACGCUUGAAUACAUUAGCAUGGAAUAAUGAAAUAGGACGUUCGAUCCUAUUUUGUUGGUUUCUAGGAUUGACGUAAUGAUUAAUAGGGAUAGUUGGG